rnacentral:rRNA from 1 species
UACGAAGGGGGCUAGCGUUGCUCGGAAUCACUGGGCGUAAAGGGUGCGUAGGCGGGUCUUUAAGUCAGGGGUGAAAUCCUGGAGCUCAACUCCAGAACUGCCUUUGAUACUGAGGAUCUUGAGUACGGGAGAGGUGAGUGGAACUGCGAGUGUAGAGGUGAAAUUCGUAGAUAUUCGCAAGAACACCAGUGGCGAAGGCGGCUCACUGGCCCGGUACUGACGCUGAGGUGCGAAAAGCGUGGGGAGCAAACAGG